UACGGAGGAUCCGAGCGUUAUCCGGAUUUAUUGGGUUUAAAGGGUGCGUAGGCGGUUUGAUAAGUUAGAGGUGAAAUGCCGGGGCUCAACCCCGAAACUGCCUCUAAUACUGUUGGACUAGAGAAUAGUUGCGGUAGGCGGAAUGUAUGGUGUAGCGGUGAAAUGCUUAGAGAUCAUACAGAACACCGAUUGCGAAGGCAGCUUACCAAACUAUGUCUGACGUUGAGGCACGAAAGCGUGGGUAGCAAACAGG
rnacentral:rRNA from 1 species